GCCGCGAUGCGUUCUCUUCACUAGGUCAGAAAUAAAUUAAAAUAUAAUGCGGAAAGGACUGGUUUGGUGAUGUUGACUUCGGAACAACAGAUGUCAAGUGCAAUAACGACAUUAAAGCUAAUAAAUAAGAAGGGAAAAGCGUAAAAAAAAUUUAAAAAAUUAAAAAAUACCUCUGCCUUUGUCAAACGAGUGCAAAGUGUUAAAGGUAUGGCAGCAAUUGAAGUGAAGUUCUAUAUUUAUGCAGUUCCGGCUCAUUAGAAAUUUAAAGUCUGAAAUAUUGAGUCAUCCCACACAGUGCUUAAAUGCAAAAUGAAAUAAAAAAAGUUUAUAUAUCAGGAAGGAAACUAAUUACGUUUCGUACGGCACCGACUAGACAAUCAAAAGAGUUAUUGGCAGCAGCAAUCAAUGUUACGUGAGGUGGAGCCGAAGGGGAAACUGGAAUGGGCACGUGACUGAAGCUGGAACCUUAUAUGACUGUUAAAGAUACAUUUCCUCUUCUUUGUAACUAUAAACAACAAAGCGCAUCGCAGAACAUGUGUAAAUGGAAACAAACCCGCUGAGAUGGAAAAUACAUACGUUACAAAAAGUUGAAA